rnacentral:rRNA from 3 species
CGGUUCGCCGCCGGUGACGUUGUGAGAAGUUCAUUAAACCUUAUCAUUUAGAGGAAGGAGAAGUCGUAACAAGGUUUCCGUAGGUGAACCUGCGGAAGGAUCAUUG